AAGAACUCUGUUCGGGGGUUU
rnacentral:siRNA from 1 species